AUCAUUCUCCUUCUGUCCCGUAGUUAUCUUGAAAAUGAAAACCAAUUGUUUAGCCUGGAUAUUUAUCUUUCUAUGUGCUAAAGUCGUUCCGGAAUUGGCUCUCGAAAAUCCUCAUAUGAUUAGGGAGAGAGAUAUGGAUUUCCCAACGUACAACUUGUUGGAAACAGAAAAACGCGGUAACAAUUAUUUUGAAACAUCUUACACAAAAGCUUAAAUCUGUCCAUUCGUUCUCUAAAUUAGAUUAUUAUUAUUACUGUUUUCAUCGAAGGACUGUCUCAUGUAAAGAAAACGAGUUGGGAUAAGACUUGAACACCAUUUCAUUGUCUCUUCUGUUUUUUUUUUUUUUUUUUUUUCAUCUUAUUGCUUAAAGUUUUAGACGAAUAAUUUAUUUCUUUAUGCUUUACAUUAAGAAUUGUGUGGAUCAAAUCAAAUCAAUUCUUUUCUGAAUCUCCAAGUUAAUUUGCGUGCAGGCAGAAAUGGGACUGUCAAAUGGGAAACAUAUGCAGAUGGAAGAAAACUUUUGGCAACAAACGAUAAUAUUGGCUGGAAAGAAAAGGCACGUAGAACUAAAGGGUGUUCUUGUGGUGGAAACACAGUUUAUUGGCACAAUGCAGAUAAUAGUUCAGUAUUUCUACAUAGGCCUUCUUUCUUCAUAUCAGCCACCAUAAUUUGUUUUAGCAUAUCUUCUCUCCUUGUUUAUCCCUUUCCAUUAACCUAAUUUUUCAGUUCAAUAUUCAGUUUCUUUUAUAUUGUGUAGAAUUAUGACAUAUAUUUGGCUUAAUAUAUGGUGAAUGUGAUAAGAUUGAGCUGCGU
rnacentral:lncRNA from 1 species